rnacentral:lncRNA from 1 species
AAAACCCCAAAUUCGUUUCCCUUGACGGCGCCUUCAGAUGAGAUCCACGACGGGAUGAACCUGGAGCUCUACUACCAAUAGAACCCACCAGUAUAAACCAGUACAACCCAGUCCGGACCAGUGCAGCCAGCCCAGCGCUACCAGUAUAUCCCAGUAUAUCCCAGUCCCCUCCCCCAUUUCCGGCCCGGCCCCGUUUGUUGAUCAAUAAAGGCGAUUUUGGGGCCUCCGGGCGAUUUUUGGCAUUUCCCGGCCACGUUCCAGAGCUUGUGUCGCGAUUUUAAGGAGAAAUCCCGGUCUUGUGUCGCGAUAUCGCGAUUUGAGGCAAUACUGGGGGGUUGUGUCGCGAUAUCGCGGUUUUAAGGCCACAUUGAGGGGUUUUGUGGCGAUAUCGCGAUUUUAUGGUGCCAUAUCGCGAUGUUUCCCACGGGGGUACCCGAGCCUGGGCACGCGGAGCUCCCGGCAGGGAUAAACCCCGCGGUUUGUGGGGAUCGCCGGCGAUACGGGGGAGAAUCGCGACAGAGGCUCGGAGCAGGCGCUGCUCGGGGCAGCCCCGUCGUCAUGGUAACGGUGGCUUUUUAAUCAGGCGCCUCGCAGGGCAGCCCCGUCACCAUGGCAGCGGGGACCUUCCUUAGGGGCGACGUGUUGCUAUGGUAACGGCGGGUCUCCAAUCAGGCGCCGAACGGGGCAGCCCUGUUGCCAUGGCAGCGGGGGGCUUCCCAUGUGGCCGGCGCGCAGUAUGGCGGCGUCCAUGGCGAGCGCGGGAACGGGACCGCGCUGAGCGCGGGGUCCCGGAGCCGGUACCGGGCAGCGGAGCUGGGACCGCCCGGGAAUGGCGGAGGGGCCGGGACGGGCCAGGGCUGGCCCGGCCCGGAGCCGCUCCCCAGGAUCCGGAUCCAGUGGAUCCCAUGGAUCUCCGGGAUCAGCUGGACGAGCUGGACGAGCUGGAUGCAGAAAUCCUGGGAAUGGCCAGAGCUGGGUCCAGAACGGGGAAACGCGGCGGGAAGGGGCCGGGCCCCCAAAAAGGUACCGGGAAUUCUCUUGGGAUCGACCCCAAUCCUGUGGGAUCGACCCCAAUCCCAUGGGAUCAAACCCCAUUCCAUGGGAUCAACCCCAUUGCUGAGGGAUCGACCCCAAUCCUGAGGGAUCCACCCCAUUGCUGUGGGAUCGACCCCAUUUUAUGGGAUCAAUCCCAUUCCUUGGGAUCAACCCCAAUCCCACGGGAUCAACCCUGGGAUCAACCCCAAUCCUGUGGGAUCACCCCAUUGCUGUGGGAUCAACCCCAUUCCAUGGAUCGACCCCAGUCCC